AAUAUCCCAGGGGCUUGCCCACAGGCCAGUCUCGUGGAGGUGUCUUCUCAGUUGGGAUUCCCUUUUCCCAGAUGACUCAGGCUUGUGUCAAGUUGACAUAAAAACUAGCCAGCACAGAAAGAGUACUGGUGUUACACCCAGCACGGCAAUUAAGGAGGAACUAUUAUAUACGCGUGUGUGUGUGUGUGUGUGUGUGUGUGUAUGGUUUUAUUUAUUCUUUGACAUAUUCAUACUGUGUAAAAUGUAUGUUGGUCAUAUCCACCCCUCACUCCUCUCUUCAGCUCCCCCCAGAACCCCUAUUUAAUCUCCCCCCCCCACCAACUUUAUGUCCUUCUCUCUCUCUCAUAUAUAUAUAUGUAUAUAUGCAUACAUUUAGUAUACUAAAUACAAUUAGUGUUGCCCGUAUGCACAAAGGCAUUAUAGUCAUUCACUGAAGCACGAAGAACCUACUCAAAAAAAAAGUAAGUUUCCCUCCCCCAGCAGCUGAUAGGUUGGCAGCCCCUCCCCGUUGCAUGGUGGGAUUUUUAGCUGGCUUGAUAUUGUGCGGGGAUUGUGUAGGUAACCACUGUUUCUAUGAGUAAAUGUGUGUAACACCCAUGUUGUAUCCAGAGAACACAGCAUUCCAUAGCAUUCUUCCCUCCCUAUCCUCCAGCUCUUAAAUUCUUUCCAACAGUGUUCCCUGAGGAAGGAGGUAGGGAGGGGACGGAAUAUAGAUCAUCCAUGUAUGGUCAAGUACUCACAAUUACUUAUUCUAAGCGCUUUGAACAAUAACAGUAAUGUGUUCCCACAUUAACUGUCACCCCCCCAAAACAAACAAACAAACAAAAAACAAAGCAAGAUCCUCAGACAAAGGUUGGGAGCCGUACCAAUCUACGGCUAUAAACAUUUAGAAGGAGGUUUGACAAGACCAUUAGAAAACAGCAUUAACAGUGCCUCCCUUACAGCCUGUGACUGUCCGAGACAUGGGUUUUGGUCAUCUCCUACCAGACAGGAAAUGCCUCCUUCGGGGCAGGCCUCCUGCUCAUCUCCCCGACUCUACUUUCUCCUCCCUCUAACCCUUUCAUGUUCUGCUUCCAUCCAAGCGUUUCUGAAGAACUCACUUCCUCUCAGUAGUGUGUCCAACAAAAUCUAAUAGUAAAAUGCAGGUGAAAUCAAAGUAGAGAGGGGAACAGUAGGGGGGAAAAUGAGGGAGAAGCUGGGGAUGGCCUCCAGCUUCCCGAUCCUUCAUCACCGGAACUGGCUUUUCCACUGAACGUGUGUUCUGGGUGAGGCUUCACGGCCGCCCAUGUCCAUGGUCCUAUAGCUGCAUUUUAAAUUAAAAAAUUUAAGGUUAUGAUAAAAUAUGCAUAACAUAAAAGCUACUGUCUUGGCAGUAAGGUUUCAUACAUGGACAGUCUUGUGUAACCUGCCUCCAGAGCUUCCUUCAUCUUGCAAAACUGAAACUCUGUAGUCAUUAAACACCACCCGUAUCUUCUAAUUCCUGUCAAUCACCCCUCUAUCAUUUGUUGCAAUUUUUGUCUGAUGACUCUCAUUGAGUAUUUGACUUUUUUGUGACUGGCUUAUUUCAUUCAGCCCCAUAUUCCCAAGGUUCAUUGGUGUGGAACCAUAUGUCAGAAUUUCAUUUCUUCUAAAGGCUAAAUAAUACUCUAUUACAUGUAGGCAGCACAUUGUUAUACAUUUUUAUUUAUCCAUCCACUGAAUGAGAGAUAUUUGAGUUUGUUUUCCUUUUUUUGCUAUUGUGAAUAUUGCCGCUGUAAGCACGGGUGUGCAAAUAUCUCUUCAGGACCUACUUUCCAGUCUUUUGCUGACAUUCCAAGAAAUGAAAUAAUUGCUGGAUCAUGCGUGAUUCCAUUCUCAGUUUUUCUUCGUACUACUUACUAUCCUAUUCCUGUGGCCAAAUGCCUGAGGAGAAGCAAAGGCUCAAAGUUCGGGGAUAUACACUCCAUCAAGGCAAGAAGGUGCAGCAGCUCGGACGUGUUGCAGCUGCUCACGCUGCAUCUGCAGCCAGGGAGCAGAGAGAGACAUACCAGGAGAUGGAUGUGCCAGGUCUCUCCAAAUCCAGACAAGCUGACAAUGCAGGAUGGCUAUCAUGGGACUCGUGCUAAUGGCUGAGAUUCUUCACGGACAUCCAAUUAAAACAGCACACUCCACCGUGGGUCAAUGCCAUGGAAAUGAAGCAGAGGACAAAGGACGAAAGAAAGCCAGUACCUAGUGUUCAUCCUGAAAUUUGCCAGAAAAACAAGUUCCACCAUUUAGACUGAACUUAAGUAAUUUUUUACUAAAUUAUUAAAUACUGACCAGGAUGGAAUUAAGACCAUCACCUGGAAACUUUCCAGGCAUGCUCAUGAAUCUGGAGGUCAUUGGACACUAUUUCGGUCAAAGUGUCUGGUCAGUGGGCCCCCAGAAUCCACCUAUAUCUGCCCCUCGGAGCUGAGGUUACUAAUGCACAUGGCCAUGUCCAGCUUUUACAUGGUGCUGGGGAGCUGAAAUUAAGUCUUCAUGCUUGUGCAGAAAGCGCUUUACCCUUGGAAUCAUUUACUCUGCCCCCUUGACCUUGGGCUUCGUUCUGUGCUUCCCGGAUAAGCAGUAGUUUCUUGCGGACCACAUGCCAAGCAAAAUGGGGAGACCACAAUGUGAAGAGAAGCUGAACGGAUUCCAAGCUGAUGGAGUUUGAACUUGUAGUUGUGUGAUCUUAACCACCCCUCCCACGGUGGACAGAGUUAUCUGCUACAGUAGACAGGGAUAGGUGGACAUAAUUGGCUUCAACGUUGAGAACCAGUAUUGUCCACUGUGGCCCUUUCUAUAUAGUAACACUCUACAGUAAUCAGAGUGUUAAUCUCAAAAUGCAUGCUAGCUUUGGGUUAUGUUCCCCCUGAAGGCAAUAAGCCCAGACCCAGAACCUUCUAAAACAGUGAAAUUACUUUCUUGAUCAUUAUCUCUUGACCAAGAGGCCAGUCAGAAAAGGCGGAAGUAGGUACUAGGCACCUGGUGACACCGGGCAGUUUGCUUGCAUGUGAAACUUUAGUUGUGUCAAGUAGUUUUUUUGUCAACUUGACAUAAACUAGAGUCAUUUGGGAAGAGAGAACCUCAACUGAGAAAAUGCCCCCUACCACGUUGGCCUGUGGGUACUUUCUUAUUGAAUGAUGGAUGUGGGUGGGCCCAGCUCACUGUGGCUGGAGCUAUCCCUGGGGUAGGUAGGUCCUGAGAUGUCUAAGAAAGCAGUCUAAGCAAACCACGUGGAACAAGAUAGUGAGCAGCAUUCCUCCAUGGCCUCUGCAUCAGUUCCUGCCUCCAGGCCCCUGCCCUGAGUUCCUAC